rnacentral:tRNA from 1 species
AGCUUGAGUAGUUUAAAAAAAACACUGAUCUUGUAAAUCAAAAUUAUUAAUUCUGAAGC